UUUUGUUCUGGAAUUGAAGGCUUAAUAAUAGAAUCUAACAUGUAAAUGCAUAUGCAUGUAAUUCUUUAAAUUCCAAGUUCUGAUAUCCAUAUUGAGUUGAUAAAACCGUUUCUAUUAUCUACAUUAACCCAAAGCAGUCUCUUAACCCAAAACCCAAUCCAAUUUAAGAUAAGAGGUUAUUGAGUCGGCCUCUUGCUUCGUUUUGGUUUGUUUCUUAUUUUCAGUCAGUUUUUUUUUUUUUUUUUUUCCUAUGUCAUUGUACAUUGUUUUUAACCAGCAAAUUGAUAUAUGUUUGUUGUCUUAGAAGUACGUCUCUUUCUGUUUUGAAAUUGUGAUUGUCCCAAUAUUUUGAUAGCUUGGAGAUUUAUUUGUCUGGUAUGAAUGUGAAACAAGAAUCAUUGACAAAGUUCCAGUGGUGAUCAUGUGCUUAGAGAACAUCCUCAGUUGAAUCGAUAGAAAAGCAGCUUCCAAGAGCCGUACUUGAAAUCAAGAGCCUGGAUGUGUUCUGAUCAUCAUUAACAAGAAAGAAAGAAAGAGGGUGAGGGAGGUGGGGAUUUUGAAGAAGGAUCCCGAGAUCCUGAAGGAGCAGAUUGAUAAGUUGAAUAAGCAAAGGAAGGCAGCAUUAAACCAGCAGCAUCAUCCAUGGAGACCUUCAACAAAGAGAAAACAAACUAAAGUGUGAUGACACUUUUUAUGUACAAAGAACUGGAGGAAGCAACUUUUUGGACAACCUCCACAGCUGUUAACUACCAGGCUAACAACCUUUUGGCAACACAUAUGCUAACAGACAUCAUCAUCUGUUUUUGACAAGUACAUCAAGCAAUAAUUGUAAUUAAG